GGACAACAGCCGGAAACGGCUGCUAAUACCGCAUAUUCCCGCGGGGCCGCAUGGCCCUGCGGGGAAAGCUCCGGCAGUACGGGAUGGGCCCGCGUCUGAUUAGCUUGUUGGCGGGGUAACGGCCCACCAAGGCUGCGAUCAGUAGCCGGCCUGAGAGGGCGGCCGGCCACAUUGGGACUGAGACACGGCCCAGACUCCUGCGGGAGGCAGCAGUGGGGGAUAUUGCACAAUGGGGGGAACCCUGAUGCAGCGACGCCGCGUGAACGAAGAAAUAUUUCGGUAUGUAAAGUUCUAUCAGCAGGGAAGAAAAUGACAGUACCUGACCAAGAAGCCCCGGCUAACUACGUGCCAGCAGCCGCGGUAAUACGUAGGGGGCGAGCGUUAUCCGGAUUCACUGGGCGUAAAGGGAGCGCAGGCGGCACGGCAAGUCCGGUGUGAAAGCCCGGGGCCCAACCCCGGGACUGCACUGGAAACUGCCGGGCUGGAGUGUCGGAGGGGCAGGCGGAAUUCCUAGUGUAGCGGUGAAAUGCGUAGAUAUUAGGAGGAACACCGGUGGCGAAGGCGGCCUGCUGGACGACGACUGACGCUGAGGCUCGAAAGCGUGGGGAGCAAACAGGAUUAGAUACCCUGGUAGUCCACGCCGUAAACG
rnacentral:rRNA from 1 species